CGGGAAUAUCGAUUGGUUGGAGUAUAGCGUAAGUAACGAUGCAACAUAUUGUUUGUAUUGUUAUUUAUUUAAAGAUAGUAGCAUUCAUCAAGGUGGAGGUGAUGUAUUUUCGACCAUUGGGUUUAAGAGUUGGAAUAAAAAGAAAAGUUUGUGGAUACACGUUGGUAAGCCAAAUAGCAUUCAUAAUCAGGCAAAAAAAAAGAGUUGAAGAUCUAAGUCGACAACAACAGUCUAUUAUAUCUGCAUUUGGGAGGGAGCAAUAUGAUCAAUUUAAGCAUGAGUACUGGCUUCGCUUAACUGCUUCAAUUGAUGUAGUAAGACUUCUUGUGAAUCAAGGAUUUGCAUUUCGGGGUCAUGAUGAGUCUAAAUCAUCACUUAAUAGGGGUAAUUUUCUUGAAAUUCUCUCAUGGUAUGCGAAACACUGUGAUAAAAUUCAUGAUUAUGUAUUGGAACAUGCCCCUCAGAAUGACCGAAUGACCUCUCCAAUGAUUCAAAAAGAUAUUGUGACUGCAUGUAAGAUAGAGACCAUCAAAGCUAUCAUUGAGGAAUUAAAUGGUGACUACUUUGCCUGAUUAGUUGAUGAAUCUUUUGAUGUGUCACGUAAGGAGAAAAUGGCUGUUGUUUUACGAUAUGUUGAUCGAAAGGGAUUUGUGAUGGAGCGAUUGAUUGAUAUUGUACAUGUUCAAGAUACUAGUGCUUUAUCUCUAAAGAGUGCAAUUGUCAAUUUACUUUCUCAAAAUUCAUUGAGUCUAUCUUAUGUGCGCGGGCAAUGUUACGAUGGGGCAAGCAAUAUGCAAGGUGAGAUAAAAGGCCUUAAAAAGUUGAUUAGGCAAGAAAGUUUCUCAGCACAUUCUAUUCAUUGUUUUGCUCAUCAACUUCAACUAACUCUUGUUGCGGUUUCUAAAAAAUGUAUUCAAGUGGGGGAACUUGUAUUAUUAGUUUCAAAUGUUUGGAAUGUGUUGGGAGCUUCUUUUAAGCGUAUGGAUGAAUUUCGAGAAUCUCAAAAAGAAAGAAUUCAAGAGGCAUUAGAUAUGGGUGAACUUACAACAGGUAGAGGCUUGUAUCAAGAACUUGGUCUUAUAAGAGCUGGUGAUAUUCGUUGGGGAUCUCACUACAAAUCCUUUUGUAAUUUUAUUCUUAUGUUUGGCUCUAUUAUUUAUGUUCUUGAUGCACUUGUUGUUGAUGCAUGUUCUCCAGAUGAAAGUGCUAAGGCAACAGGAUAUCUUGAAGCUUGUCAAACAUUUAAGAUUGCUUUUAUGUUGCAUUUGAUGAGAGAUAUCUUAGGAAUCACAGAUGAGCUUAAUAAAUCAUUACAAAAGAAAGAACAGGAUAUUGCAAAUGCUAUGCUGCUCGUUGAAGUAGCAAAGAGAAGGUUGCAAUCGUUGAGGGAGGAUGCCUAGGAUGAGCUUAUUGAUAAGGUAUCGACAUUUUGUAUCAAGUAUAACAUUUUGAUACCUAAUUUUGAUGAGCCUUAUGUUAACUCUGGAAGAUCACGGCGUAAACCUGCUGAUCAUACGGUCUUACAUCAUUAUCGUUAUGAUGUGUUCUAUAAAAUUAUUGAUUGGCAACUUCAAGAACUCAAUGAUCGUUUUAAUGAGUAGGGGUGCUCUUGAGAAUCAGCUUGCGACAUACAUUAUUGAUGUCCGUGAUAUUGAUGAAAGGUUCGCCAAUCUGAAUGGACUUUGUGAUCUCUCAAGAAAACUAGUUCAAACGAAGAAGCACUUAAACUUUCCUCUUGUAUUCCGCUUAGUGAAAUUUUCUUUGCUUCUACCAGUUGCCACUGCAUCCGUUGAAAGACGUUUUUGGCAAUGAAGUUUAUUAAGAAUGACCUGCGGAAUCGGAUGAAUGACGGACUUUUGAGCGGCUGCUUAGUUCCUUAUGUAGAAAAAGAUGU